AGUGAACGCUGGCGGCGUGCCUAAUACAUGCAAGUCGAACGGAAUUUAAAAGAGCUUGCUCUUUUAAAUUUAGUGGCGCACGGGUGAGUAAUAUAUAGCUAAUCUGCCCCUUGCUGGAGGACAACAGUUAGAAAUGACUGCUAAUACUCCAUACUCCUUUUUACCAUAAGAUAAAUCGGGAAAGAAUUUCGGCAAGGGAUGAGACUAUAUCGUAUCAGCUAGUCGGUGGGGUAACGGCCUACCGAGGCUAUGACGCGUAACUGGUCUGAGAGGAUGAUCAGUCACAUUGGAACUGAGACACGGUCCAAACUCCUACGGGAGGCAGCAGUAGGGAAUAUUGCGCAAUGGGGGAAACCCUGACGCAGCAACGCCGCGUGGAGGAUGACACUUUUCGGAGCGUAAACUCCUUUUGUUAGGGAAGAAUAAUGACGGUACCUAACGAAUAAGCACCG
rnacentral:rRNA from 1 species